rnacentral:rRNA from 1 species
UACAGAGGUCCCAAGCGUUGUUCGGAUUCAUUGGGCGUAAAGGGUGCGUAGGUGGCAUGGUUAGUCGGGUGUGAAAUCCCGGGGCUCAACCCCGGAACUGCACUCGAUACUGCCGUGCUCGAGUACUGGAGAGGAGACUGGAAUUUACGGUGUAGCAGUGAAAUGCGUAGAUAUCGUAAGGAAGACCGGUGGCGAAAAGCUAGUCUCUGGACAGUCACUGACACUGAGGCACGAAGGCCAGGGGAGCAAACGGG